rnacentral:tRNA from 1 species
GAAGAGAUAGUUUAAAGGAAAAACAUCGGUCUCAUAAACCGAAGUUAAAGGUUCGAUUCCUUUUCUCUUCC